AGAGUUUGAUCCUGGCUCAGGAUGAACGCUAGCGGCAGGCUUAACACAUGCAAGUCGAGGGGCAACAGGGGCAGCAAUGCUUGCUGGCGACCGGCGCACGGGUGAGUAACGCGUAUGCAACCUGCCCAUAACAGGGGGAUAGCUCCCGGAAACGGAAAUUAACACCCCAUAGUAUUCCAUUGCCGCAUGGCAUAGGGAUUAAAACUACGGUGGUUAUGGAUGGGCAUGCGUGCCAUUAGCUAGUUGGCGGGGUAACGGCCCACCAAGGCUACGAUGGCUAGGGGGUCUAAAAGGAUGAUCCCCCACACUGGUACUGAGACACGGACCAGACUCCUACGGGAGGCAGCAGUGAGGAAUAUUGGUCAAUGGGCGAGAGCCUGAACCAGCCAUGCCGCGUGCGGGAAGACGGCCCUAUGGGUUGUAAACUGCUUUUUUAUGGGAAGAAAAAGCCCUACGUGUAGGGCACUGACGGUACCAUAUGAAUAAGCAUCGGCUAACUCCGUGCCAGCAGCCGCGGUAAUACGGAGGAUGCGAGCGUUAUCCGGAUUUAUUAGGUUUAAAGGGUGUGUAGGCGGACGAUUAAGUCAGUGGUGAAAUCUCACAGCUCAACUGUGAAACUGCCAUUGAUACUGGUUGUCUUGAGUACAGUUGAAGUAGGCGGAAUGUGUAAUGUAGCGGUGAAAUGCUUAGAUAUUACACAGAACACCGAUUGCGAAGGCAGCUUACUAAGCUGUUACUGACGCUGAUGCACGAAAGCGUGGGGAGCGAACAGGAUUAGAUACCCUGGUAGUCC
rnacentral:rRNA from 1 species